AAGGUCACACCCGUUCCCAUCCCGAACACGGUAGUUAAGCUUCUCUGCGCCAAUGGUAGUUGGGGGCUUCCCCCUGCGAGAGUAGGUCGCUGCCGGGC
rnacentral:rRNA from 1 species